CUUAUCCUUCCUCCAAAACGUAGACCCAACUCUGCCAUUCCUCUCUCUUCUCUAUUCUCUACCUUCACCUUCCCCAAAACCCAACACUGAAAAUCAAUCAUGCCAAGAAGCCAUCCCCACACUGUCAUGUCCGAGAUAGAAAGAAGGCAUCACCGAACAAACCACUGUCCCAGCCGUGGCAGAGGAAUUGGGAUUGAAGGAGCAAAAUCAAGAUGCCGUGGACGUCCUUUUUUGAUUCAAAAUCGUAAAAGCUUUCUUACUCUCUUUCUCUCUCCAAGUGGUGUGAGAAGGAUUUGCCUGCAUGGCGCCCUACCCAUGAUUGGUUGCCUAAAAGAACUGUAUGUAUCAUGACAUCAUAUUCAAGGGGAGUCACUAUCCAAUGUAGAAACAAAAAGAGAGCAAGGCCUUCCUUUGUGUAUUUGAGCAAUGGAAAAAGCUUUGAGGUUGAUUAAAAUGCAAAGACAUUCAGUGGCCAUUUGCCAAUUAUUUCACUAUAAGGGACAUUUGGAUCCUCAAAAAAGGGAUGCACUUAAUAAGGCUGUGUAGGACACUGCCCAUGAAGAUGUCUCAUCUAUUGUUUUGAGUUUUGUUAUUGCAUUUACAUAGCUGCCAAAUAUGUGUUGAUGGACUUAAUGGUUGUGUCUUUAAUUUAUUUAACAAGAGAUUUGAAAUACAGAUUAAUAACAAUUUAUAGAACUCAAUGUUUUAUGUUGAAUACAUAUAUGAUGUACUCUUCUAUAUAAUGCAGAUGUGUUUUAUUAUGUUUUCUAC